GUGAUAUCAGAGAUGGUGAAUAUGAUCAGUGAAUAUAAUCAUGGUAUUGUUAUGGAGAAGAGCUACACACAGAGGUGUUGACCAUGUACAGUCUACAGCCCAGACUGCAGACAUAGAAAAUUAUGCAUCGCUGAAGGUCUCUCCGCACCAG